CGUUGCUAAUCGUUUCGGCCGACUGCUGGACGAUGAAUCCGACCCUUUCGACAUCGUAUACGCGGCAGGGGUGGAAAAGAAACAGAAGAAGAAGAAAGAGGAUCCAAAGAAAACUUCAACCACGACUGGAAAGAAAGAGUCUCAAAGGGACAGGAAAAUCGUUCUUCCAGUAGAUGGAGGUGGACAAGGCCAAGUCCGUCUUGCUCGUGGAGAAGUUGAGGAGCGAAUAGAGAGACGCGUGACUUUUGAGCGCAAAUUCAGCGACGCCGACACCCCCCUCAGUUUCUCUGUUGAGAGGCCUGUGGAUGUGCUGGACAGGCCUGUCAGAGGAAGAGGUACAGGAAGAGGGCGAGGAGCCCGAGGCCCAGGAUAUCCAAGAUCUAGUGAUGGAUUUGACCAGAGGGGAAAGAGAGAGUUUGAGAGACACAGUGGCAAUGACCGAACGUGAGCUGUGACUCAUUACUGUCAUGUU